AUGUACCUACGGGACGCAGCAGUCGGGAAUAUUGCGCAAUGGAGGAAACUCUGACGCAGUGACGCCGCGUGCAGGAAGAAGGCUUUCGGAUUGUAAACUGCUUUAGACAGGGAAGAUAAUGACCGUACCUGUAGAAUAAGCUCCGGCUAACUACGUGCCAGCAGCCGCGGUAAUACGUAGGGAGCAAGCGUUAUCCGGGUUUAGUGGGUGUAAAGGGUGCGUAGACGGGAAUGCAAGUUAGUUGUGAAAUCCCUCGGCUUAACUGAGGAACUGCAACUAAAACUACAUUUCUUGAGUGCUGGAGG
rnacentral:rRNA from 1 species